GAUGAACGCUGGCGGCGUGCCUAAUACAUGCAAGUCGAGCGGUAAGGCCCUUCGGGGUACACGAGCGGCGGACGGCUGAGUAGCGCGUAGGAACGUACCCCAAAGUGAGGAAUAAGCACCAGAAAUGGUGUCUAGUACCGCAUGUGGUCUUCGGAUUAAAGCCUUCGGGCGCUUUGGGAGCGGCCUGCGUAUGAUUAGCUUGUUGGUGAGGUAAUGGCUCACCAAGGCGACGAUCAUUAGCUGGUCUGAGAGGAUGAUCAGCCAGACUGGGACUGAGACACGGCCCAGACUCCUACGGGAGGCAGCAGUAGGGAAUUUUCCACAAUGGACGAAAGUCUGAUGGAGCAACGCCGCGUGCAGGAUGAAUGCCUUCGGGUUGUAAACUGCUUUUAUAGGUGAAGAUUAUGACGGUAACCUAUGAAUAAGGAUCGGCUAACUCCGUGCCAGCCGCCGCGGUAAAAC
rnacentral:rRNA from 1 species